rnacentral:lncRNA from 1 species
CUCUCAGGAGGCCCAUGGUUAAUGGGACAUACAGAUAUACAACAUAUGGUGGGAUGGAUCACUAACAUAUGGUGAGAUAAGAAGAAAAAAAGGGGUCAGCAGGAUGCUAUGAGAACAAAGUAGGAGAAGUGAUGAAACACCUUGCCAAUGUGGAAGACUUCAUGGAGGAACUUAGAUCUGUUACUUCUCAUUGAAGAACAAGGACAAAAGAAGAGAAAGAAGAAGGAAGAAGGAAGGGAAAAUAGCCCAGCCUCCAUUCCCAUUCAAUCUAUACUCUCUGAUGAAAAUUUGAUGCUGCUCUGCCUACCAAUUCAUUAUAGUCAUCAUUACUAAAUAGCCAUCAUGUUUAAUGGCUGGUAGUCACUAUGAGAGUGGCAUGGAGUCAGACAAGAGUUUAGAAGAGUGAGGAGGUAUCUUUGUUCACCUCUGGUCCCUAGUGUGUUCCAGGCCUGCUUCAUUGAAAUUUCUGCAUCAAUAUUUCAUUAACUCAUACCAAGCAUGCAACAUGACUUUCUGUGCAAAUUAAACUAAUAUUUGAAAUGAAGAAAAACAAUCAUGGGAGGGGUAGUCACUUACCACAAGGACUCUGCAAAGGAGUUACACAGAAAAGGCAGCUGUAUUUUUGUGCUUUUGCCAUAAAAUGGAGCAUUCAGUCUGUUCUGUAAAGUACUAUAAUUAUAAAGCAAUUUGCCACCUCUAAUGGGAGGACUUUCUUUCAUAAAAUAUUAACGAAAUAUAAUAUCGGUGCAAUAGGUUAGAAACAGUCUUAGUUUCUCCAUAAAAAGUCAAUUUGUAACCACUGUGAAUGUCUUCUUCAAGAUGAUGGUAACCAGAAACAUCCUCUGUGCCCAUUGUCACUUGGCCUUGAAUUAAGCACAACACAUUUCUCCUGUCCUCCCUCGCUAAUUUGAGGCUAAGUGCUUUUCCCUGUAAACAUGUUAAUUUGCAAUGCUGUUCUGUCUUCUCGCCGAGUACUUCUCAACGGAAUGCACUGCUAUUGCCCAGGCAGUUUUGUUGUGAUAAUGGUGGCCCCAAAGUCUAAACUGUCAACAAAUGAAAAAACUCAAAGCUAAGUUGAAGACACAGUUUGCAAAACUCAAACCUCUUUGUACUGUUGAAUUACUUGUGUCUUUUGAAAUCAUGGAAAGAGAUAGUUCUUCUUGUGAGAUUGAUGUUCUCCAGGCAGGGUUGUUGUCCAGACUGCAAAUGCAGGGAGAGAUGCCUGGAGUUACCAACUCAGAUUUUGCAGGCAAAGGCAAAGGCUCUGGUUGCAAGGAGACAAACAAACAAACAAAAACAACUUUUUUUUCUUUUCUUUUCUACUUAUAUAUUUCCUUAUAUUCAGGAACUGUUUUUCCUAUGCAGCUUGGUUAUUAUCCUUUUCCAUCCGGAGGUAGCAAACCCUCUCUAACUAUUAGCCAAUUUGUUUUCUAGGGAAAAGAGGCAAUCCAAAGUGAAAAGUGAAGAUGUUUGUCUCCCAGUAUUAUUUCAAGCCACUGUGUUAUUCUUCACUGACUUCUCAAAUUGGAAAGAGAGAGAAAAAAACACACCAAAAACAAAACAAAACAAAACAAAACAAAAAUCAAAUCCCCAAACACUAUUGUUUUUAAAACCAUCUUCAUUAGACAUAACAUAUAGAAAAUCCAUAUUUGCUUAUUUGGAAAUUGCCUAAGGGCUGCAUCAAUUUCCAUACAUUCCUUUGUUGAUCUACAAGUCUUAAAUGGAUCAUCAAACUCUAUUAAUUGUAGUCAGCAAAAUCCUUUUAGUAUUCUCAUUCUUAGGAGUCUUGAAAUUUAGCCAGAAAGUUUUCAAAGAGGAUAUUUGUUAUAGUAAGACCCAGGAACAGAAACAUUUAUUAGAUAAAUUCUGAAUGAAAGCUGGAAGUAGAACUCUGGCCCUAUGUUCCCCUCCAGGGAUGUGAAUAUUUUGCUAUAGGUUGGUUGACAGUUGCUAUAUGUUCUGAAUGAAUGAAUGAGUCCAUGAAUUUAAUCAAAUAUUCAUAUUUAAAUCUUGGAAUUUUUUAAAGCAUGUUGCAAACUGGUAUUAUAGCAUAAUCUAAUAUU